rnacentral:tRNA from 1 species
UGCAUCCGUGGCGGAAUAGGCAGACGCGGUGGAUUUAGGAUCCAUUUCUACGGAGUGAGGGUUCAAGUCCCUUCGGGUGCAU